rnacentral:rRNA from 1 species
UACGUAGGGAGCAAGCGUUGUUCGGAUUUACUGGGCGUAAAGGGCGCGUAGGCGGCGCGGUAAGUCACUUGUGAAAUCUCUGAGCCUAACUCAGAACGGCCAAGUGAUACUGCAGUGCUAGAGUGCAGAAGGGGCAAUCGGAAUUCUUGGUGUAGCGGUGAAAUGCGUAGAUAUCAAGAGGAACACCUGAGGUGAAGACGGGUUGCUGGGCUGACACUGGCGCUGAGUGCGCGAAAGCCAGGGGAGCAAACGGG